CUGUGACACUAAGUUAUAUUUUAGGCCAUUUAAGCUAAAUCUGAUGCAAGACAUACAUGGAUGCCUGAACUCUAGGAGUGAGCAGAGGGAGGCAGUUUUUGGAAACCCUAAGUCCGGCCCUCAGAGUCCUGCGCUCAGCAAUUCUGCAUCUCUGCACGAUGCCUCCUCCCCACCUACUCACCCCUGCAAGUGAAGCGAAAAGUAACUGGAGCAGAGCACAAGGCAGCAGAAGCUACCAACUUCCUGUCACCUGCUGUCCAUCUGAGACCCAGGCCCGGGCUGCCCCGCUCCCCGUCCAGGACUGGAGAACCAGACACAGAGAACUGAGCUCAGCAGCGAACGCCCUAACCAGCCCUUGUGCCUCACAGCCUCAGAGACUCAGGUAAGGAAUCUGCGGGCUGUGUUCCCACGGCUGAAGGAGGUGGUGGGCUGGGGGGAGUAGCUGCAGGGACUGAGAGUGCUUUGGUCUGGGGCUCGCCUGUCAGGGCUUCCAGCGGCGUCACAGUCUGAGCUGGGCCGUUUCAAGGCUCGCUACCCACCCACUGCCUUAACCACUUGUCCUCUCAAGUCAUACCCUGGACAGCACCUGCGAGCCACUCUAAGGUAGUGGAGUCCAGCGGUGCGCAGAUUAAAGCGCACUUUUCAACCGGCGGGGUUCCAGCUGGAGCUCCCCCACGGACGAGCCACACAACAGCUUUGGUCCUCACCCAUUAAACAGGGCAGUGGGAAACCCCUCAUGAGGAUGAGACAAGCUAAACUCCAGAGGCCGUAAGACUGCCUGACACCAAAUGAGAACUCAAUCGUGGCCAUAGGAAAACAACUCCAAUCCCUCUCCUGUAAAUGCUAGAAAUGCACCUAGGUGAUGUUGAGCCUCGCAGGCUAACACUUUCUAGAGGGGAUUGGUGGACAUCAGACUGACCACAGAAUCCUGCUUCAGACCCGUCACCUAAGAAGCCAGUGGCGGGGAGAGGGUGGGCACCUGGGAUAGGAGGACACUGUGAGGACAGCAGCAGGGUGAGUCUUCCCUGUGUCACCAUAGCUUCCUGAAACCAGAGAGAGGUAGAGAGACAGGCAGAGGCAGAGAGAGACUGCUUCUCUGAUUCCCUUAAAAUGACUCGAUCUCAGCACCGCCGGUCAGGUGAGAUGAAACUGCUACCUUGGCGGAGAGAGAGUGGGCACCUGGGAUAGGAGGACACUGUGAGGACAGCAGCAGGGUGAGUCUUCCCUGUGUCACCAUAGCUUCCUGAAACCAGAGAGAGGUAGAGAGACAGGCAGAGGCAGAGAGAGACUGCUUCUCUGAUUCCCUUAAAAUGACUCGAUCUCAGCACCGCCGGUCAGGUGAGAUGAAACUGCUACCUUCGGAGUUGGCACCCUGUGCUGCAUGUUUGCAAACCUGCCCAGAGGAAGGCUCUGAGUUCGAUGUUCCGCGCAGCACUCACUGAGCUCAUGGUAGCAGGAAGCAGGCUCCCUGUGGAACCUGUAGGACACACAGUUCCCUUCGGGACUGUCCAUCCGUCAGAGAAAGUCCUUGGUGAAAAGCAACAGAUGGGAGCAUGGCGGGGCUGAAAGAGGAGCCCCUGCCAUGGGGCGAGGAAGGCAAACAGCAGCCCGGGGCACGUGACAGGGAGCAGACAGUAAGUGAAGAGCCCGAGUGAAGGAGCAGGCUCGGAGAGAAGGCGGAAGACACGGCCACCGGUGGCUUGUGGGGGAUGUGAGCUUUGGGAGUGCCCUGGGUUGGGGUGUCCUCAGGAGGGAGGACAAGGCCGAGCUUCCCCGGCAGCAGUCACAGGUUAGCAGGAGAGUUCCAGCACAGGGCAGGAAGGACUUGGGAUUUAGGGAGCUUGGUCUAGCAGCCUGCGCAGAAUGGAUAAGAAAGUGAUUGAAGGCAAAAUAAAAAGCUAUUUGCACUAGUCCAGGAAAGGAAACAAGAAUAGAACUUCUGAGCUGACCCUGGGUAUAGAAGAAAGACCCGUGUACAAGAUGUGUGGCAGAGCUAGGGAUCACGUGACCUGGAUUGACUGACCGUGGAGACGGGGUUGGAGGGAAAUCUGGCUCCCACUUCUUCAGCCCGGGAAAUACAGCAAUCUGAGGCCCAGGGCCUAAGAAGCCCACUGCAUUUGCCCCGGUCUUUGAGCAGAGCUUUUAUGGCCGAAUGACGCUGGCAGAACAUAGUUGCAGAGCCCUGAGGAAUGGGUGGGUGGUGAGGAA
rnacentral:lncRNA from 1 species